UUCACUUGCAGCAAAUAUUGAAAAAUGCCCAGAUGGAAUUACUGCGGACCAUUGGAGAAAGUUUCUCGAUUAUCGCAAUAGCGAAGAGACACAGGAGAAGUGUAAGAAAAAUGCCGAGAAUCGAUCAAAGCAGCUUUACACCCACACCGGCGGAUCGAAAAGCUUGGCAAGGCUCGGAGAAGAAGAGUCGGAACGACAAGGGAGGAUAGUUAGUAGAGGAGAGUUGUAUCUCAUAACGCACAAAAGAACUAAUGGCUCCUAUAUCCAUGAUGCAGCUCGCGCUAUUGGAGUAAGUAAUGUGUUCAAUCCUAUGUUUUAGUUUUUAAAAUUUUAUUGGAAGUCUGUGCGGUUAGCGACUAGCUAAUAAAUGCUCUUAAUUGCUUAUCUAUGUGUGUAGGAAAGAAUUGAGGCUAUUGAGCAAGGCGAUGAAUCUUCUAGACUGUUAUCCCAAAAUGAUUUGCUUGCUCAAGCUCUCGGAAAAGAGCGCCCGGGUAGGGUGCGUGGCAUGGGGUUGGGGCCGACUUCUAGUCAAGUCUUCGGUAUGAAUUCCCAUCAGCC